rnacentral:rRNA from 1 species
UACGAAGGGGGCUAGCGUUGCUCGGAAUUACUGGGCGUAAAGGGAGCGUAGGCGGAUAGUUAAGUCAGAGGUGAAAGCCCAGGGCUCAACCUUGGAAUUGCCUUUGAUACUGGCUAUCUUGAGUAUGGGAGAGGUUAGCGGAACUCCGAGUGUAGAGGUGAAAUUCGUAGAUAUUCGGAAGAACACCGGUGGCGAAGGCGACUUACUGGACACAUAUUGACGCUGAGGUGCGAAAGCGUGGGGAGCAAACAGG